rnacentral:rRNA from 1 species
AGAGUUUGAUCAUGGCUCAGGAUAAACGCUGGCGGCGUGCCUAACACAUGCAAGUCAAACGGCCCUUCGGGGCAGUGGCAAMCGGGUGAGUAACGCGUUGGUAUCUACCCUUAACUCGGGCAUAAUUCACCGAAAGGUGGACUAAUUCCCGAUAGUCUCUUCGGAGUAAAGAUUUUUCGGUUAAGGAGGAACCUGCGUCCUAUCAGCUUGUUGGUAAGGUAAUGGCUUACCAAGGCUAUGACGGGUAGUUGGUCYGAGAGGAUGACCAGCCACAAUGGGACUGAGAUACGGCCCAUACUCCUACGGGAGGCAGCAGUGAGGAAUUUUGCGCAAUGGACGAAAGUCUGACGCAGCAACGCCGCGUGARGGAUGAAAUAUUUAGGUAUGUAAACUUCUUUUAAGAGGGACGAAGUAUGACGGUACCUCUUGAAUAAGCAUCGGCUAACUACGUGCCAGCAGCCGCGGUAAUACGUAGGAUGCAAGCGUUAUCCGGAUUUAUUGGGCGUAAAGCGUCUGUAGGUGGUUUGUUAAGUUGGAGAUGAAAUACACGGGCUCAACUCGUGGAACGUUUCCAAAACUGGCAGACUAGAGGAAGGAAGAGGCAAGCGGAACUUGUGGUGUAGGGGUAAAAUCCGUAGAUAUCACAGGGAACGCCAAAUGCGAAAGCAGCUUGCUGGUCCUUAUCUGACACUGAGAGACGAAAGCGUGGGUAGCGAACGGGAUUAGAUACCCUGGUAGUCCA